rnacentral:rRNA from 1 species
AGCGAACGCUGGCGGCAGGCCUAACACAUGCAAGUCGAACGAACUCUUCGGAGUUAGUGGCGGACGGGUGAGUAACACGUGGGAACGUGCCUUUAGGUUCGGAAUAACUCAGGGAAACUUGUGCUAAUACCGAAUGUGCCCUUCGGGGGAAAGAUUUAUCGCCUUUAGAGCGGCCCGCGUCUGAUUAGCUAGUUGGUGAGGUAACGGCUGACCAAGGCGACGAUCCGUUGCUGGUCUGAGAGGAUGACCAGCCACACUGGGACUGAGACACGGCCCAGACUCCUACGGGAGGCAGCAGUGGGGAAUCUUGCGCAAUGGGCGAAGGCCUGACGCAGCCAUGCCGCGUGAAUGAUGAAGGUCUUAGGAUUGUAAAAUUCUUUCACCGGGGACGAUAAUGACGGUACCCGGAGAAGAAGCCCCGGCUAACUUCGUGCCAGCCGCCGCAGUAACAC